rnacentral:rRNA from 1 species
AGAGUUUGAUCCUGGCUCAGGACGAACGCUGGCGGCGUGCUUAACACAUGCAAGUCGAACGGGGUCCAACCUCUCGCAAGAGAGGGGAAGACCUAGUGGCGAACGGGUGCGUAACACGUGAGGAACCUGCCCCGNAAGACCGGGACAACACCGGGAAACCGGUGCUAAUACCGGAUAUCCCCAUCGAAUCGCAUGGUUUGAUGAGGAAAUGGAUUCCGCUUUGGGAGGGCCUCGCGGCCUAUCAGCUUGUUGGUGGGGUAACGGCUCACCAAGGCUUCGACGGGUAGCUGGUCUGAGAGGACGACCAGCCACACUGGGACUGAGACACGGCCCAGACUCCUACGGGAGGCAGCAGUGGGGAAUCUUGCGCAAUGGGCGAAAGCCUGACGCAGCAACGCCGCGUGCGGGAUGACGGCCUUCGGGUUGUAAACCGCUUUCAGUAGGGACGAAAUUGACGGUACCUGCAGAAGAAGCCCCGGCCAACUACGUGCCAGCAGCCGCGGUAAUACGUAGGGGGCAAGCGUUGUCCGGAUUCAUUGGGCGUAAAGAGCUCGUAGGCGGCUUGGCAAGUCGGGUGUGAAAACUUCAGGCUCAACCUGGAGCGGCCACUCGAUACUGCCAUGGCUAGAGUCCGGUAGGGGACCACGGAAUUCCUGGUGUAGCGGUGAAAUGCGCAGAUAUCAGGAGGAACACCGGUGGCGAAGGCGGUGGUCUGGGCC